UUCAUGGAGAGUUUGAUCCUGGCUCAGGACGAACGCUGGCGGCGUGCCUAAUACAUGCAAGUCGAGCGAAUCAAAUAAGAGCGCAGCUCUUUUGGUUAGCGGCGGACGGGUGAGUAACACGUGGGCAACCUGCCUGUAAGACUGGGAUAACACCGGGAAACCGGUGCUAAUACCGGAUAACUCUUU
rnacentral:rRNA from 1 species